GUGCUUGCUUCUCCAGCACAUAUAUUAAAACCAAAACAAUUCAGAGAUUAGCAUGGCCCCUGCACAAGGAUGACAUGCAAAUUUGUGAAGGAGUCCACACACAC
ensembl:snRNA U6 U6 spliceosomal RNA